GCGGGUGUAGUUCAAUGGUAGAACCUCAGCCUUCCAAGCUGAUGGUGGCAGUUCGAUCCUGCUCACCCGCUCCA
rnacentral:tRNA from 1 species